rnacentral:lncRNA from 1 species
UUACAUCAGAAUGGAGCUGUGUGGACAUUGACUAUUGCCAUUGGGAGUCAAUCCGAUCAGGACAUCAAGUGAAUUGAUCUGCAAGAGGACUCGAUGAAAUGCAUAGCAGAUUGGAGAAGUUGAUUGGAGGUCAAAAUGUGCCUCCAAGGAAGCAAAUGAUGAUGGCCAGACGUGGGAAGUGAUUAUUGCAAUGCGGAUUGCACCUGACAUGAAGUUGAGUGGA